rnacentral:rRNA from 1 species
AGUGAACGCUGGCGGUAGGCCUAACACAUGCAAGUCGAACGGCAGCACAGGAGAGCUUGCUCUCUGGGUGGCGAGUGGCGGACGGGUGAGGAAUACAUCGGAAUCUACCUUUUCGUGGGGGAUAACGUAGGGAAACUUACGCUAAUACCGCAUACGACCUACGGGUGAAAGUGGGGGACCGCAAGGCCUCACGCGAUUAGAUGAGCCGAUGUCCAAUUAGCUAGUUGGCGGGGUAAGGGCCCACCAAGGCGACGACCGGGAGCUGGGCUGAGAGGAUGAUCAGGCACACUGGAACUGAGACACGGUCCAGACUCCUACGGGAGGCAGCAGUGGGGAAUAUUGGACAAUGGGCGCAAGCCUGAUCCAGCCAUACCGCGUGGGUGAAGAAGGCCUUCGGGUUGUAAAGCCCUUUUGUUGGGAAAGAAAUCCUGUCGAUUAAUACUCGGUGGGGAUGACGGUACCCAAAGAAUAAGCACCGGCUAACUUCGUGCCAGCAGCCGCCGUAAAAC